ensembl:lncRNA
CUUCACUAAUGUGAGCGCAUCUAAGUGUGCAAGUUAUGAUAGCAAGAGAGGGAGUGUACCAGCAAGGUAGGAUUCACCAUCUUUGUAAUCUAAUCAUGGAAGAAGUAACCUUCUCAGUGGUUCCAUAUUCCAUUGGUCAGAAGCAAAUUCCUCAAGGAGAGGGUAUUUCAGAAAGCCUGACUACCAGGAGACAGAGAUCACUGGCUCGUAAUGAUGCCUACCAUAGCUUUAAACCAGAUAUGUCCGUUCCAACAUGUACCUAGAUGUACAAACCCCAUUAGCCAGUGAAAAAUGCAAAAAUCUGAAUAUAUCAUCUUUUUCCCAUUCCCAAAGCAAGCUCACUUUCAUUCUUCUGGCUACUGGUUGCCUCCCUCAUCCACCCAGUUUCCAAAGUCAGAAACCUAGGAAUUUCAUUGGUUCAUUCCUCUUCCUCACCCACGACGUUCAGUUAGUUGUAUAGGCUCAGUUGUGUCUGACUCUUUGCAACCCUGUGGACUGUAGCCCACCAGCCUCUGGGUGUGACCGCCUACCAAUCCUAAUUUCUAAAUGCCUGUUAAAUCUGUCUCUCUGCACACCUGCCUUAAACCUUCGUGAUCUGUAACUUGGGUCCCUGCUGUGUCCUCCUAGUUUACCUUUCUACUUCCAGCCUUGCCCUCCCCACAGCAAUGUUGACAAUGUCACACCUCUGUUUAAAAUCUUUAAUGGCUUCCCAGUUCAGGCGUAUUUCAAGGUAGACAGCCUCAUAGUAUAAAAGUGCACGUUCAGUAAACCUGUGGUUUUCAUAAUGCAGGCUACAGAAAUUUAAACUCAGCAAAAUCUUCUUGGCUGGCAGGGAUACACAGUAUUUGAGGGACAGAUAUUAUGAGGAAAAUAGCUUUCUAUUUGAAACUCCUAAAUAGAAUUCUAGUGGUUUGGUGUGGUGUCUCAAACACCGCAGAUGUAAAGUCAAAACAGCUGUGUCUGUCCGUGGUAACUGCCAUCAAUUUUUCUUUAAAACAUAACUUUUUUGAAAGCCUGAAUUCCUUGAAGGUAUUUUCUAUCAGAUGACAAAGUCCAGUCAUAUAACUUUCAGGCAUUUUUGUCCAUUAAAACUUUGAUGACAGUUCUCAGAAACUCAGCCCUAACUAUCCGAAUGACUCAUCUCUCAGAGUCUCUGCCAGCCCACAGGAUGAUAGUAUGAGGACAGGAAAAUGUUCCUAUGUGGUCAAAGGCAAGGACCUGCACAUAACAGGUCAAACUCUAAUUCCUCCCCAGACCAUAUUCCAUUAUAGUUGCUUGGAAUUCAGCAAUGUUGUUGUCUGCUUUUUAAUCUCCCUCUUGUUCUACUCUGGCCCCAUGGGCUGAAAGUGAAAAUGGCACUUCCUGAUAACAUGCUGCUAUUGCUGCUGUCUAUGGGGUCGCACAGAGUCGGACACGACUGAAGUGACUUAGCAGCAGCAGCAGCAGCAAUGCUCUUGGAGAGCGAGCACAGGGAGACAAGUGACCAUCUACCACCCUGGGUUGCUUUGGCAAGCACUUAUGAGGGGCACAGAAAUGAAGGGAUGGAAUAUUCACUGGGGGAGGAGUAGUCUGGGGGUAGUAUUCCUUGAUUUUCAUGUCGACUCCAUUUUCCCUAGGGGUUGUUAUAGUUCAUUGGUUGCUGAGUAGUGUCCAAUUCUUUGCGACAUGAGGGACUAUCGUUGGCCCAGCUCCUCUGUCCAGGGGAUUUCCCAGGCAGGAAUAUCACAGUGUGUUGCCACUUCCUUCUCCAGGGGAACUUCCCAACCCAGGGAUCAAACCCACGUCUCCUGCAUUGGCAGACGGAUUCUUUACCACUGAGUCAUCAGGGAAGCCCCAGGGCGAGUCGAAACAUGGUCUAAAUUUUGGCAACUAAGCCCACGCACCGCAUCAGGGAGCCUGGGCACCUCAAUGAACAUACAGUGCAGUCAAAAUUGUUUUGUU